GAUGAACGCUGGCGGCGUGCCUAAUACAUGCAAGUCGAGCGAACAGACGAGGAGCUUGCUCCUCUGACGUUAGCGGCGGACGGGUGAGUAACACGUGGAUAACCUACCUAUAAGACUGGGAUAACUUCGGGAAACCGGAGCUAAUACCGGAUAAUAUAUUGAACCGCAUGGUUCAAUAGUGAAAGACGGUUUUGCUGUCACUUAUAGAUGGAUCCGCGCCGCAUUAGCUAGUUGGUAAGGUAACGGCUUACCAAGGCAACGAUGCGUAGCCGACCUGAGAGGGGGAUCGGCCACACUGGAGCUGGGACACGGUCCAGACGCCUACGAGAGGCAGCAGUAGGGAAUCUUCCGCAAUGGGCGAAAGCCUGACGGAGCAACGCCGCGUGAGUGAUGAAGGUCUUCGGAUCGUAAAACUCUGUUAUUAGGGAAGAACAAAUGUGUAAGUAACUAUGCACGUCUUGACGGUACCUAAUCAGAAAGCCACGGCUAACUACGUG
rnacentral:rRNA from 1 species